UCCGCCUGAUUGGGAUUUGUCCGCGCCAUCUUCAAACGCUAUCCCUGACCAUCACCUUUAAAAAGGAAAGAUAUCAAGGGAGCGGAUGGGGUACGGAGUUGUGGUGACAUUGUGUGCAGUUGUACCCCUCUUAUCCUAUGGUUUUGUCAGUGUUUCCUUUUUAUAAAUAAAUAAAGGGUCGAGAGGAAGCGAGAUCCACAUCUCAUUUGGUAUCUCAAAAAUUGUUUGACGUAAACACUUAGUCUUUUUUUUUUUUUUUUUUUCUUAAAUGCGAUGUUCUGGUUUUCCCUCCUCUUGGUCCUCUCUCCUCUAGCCCCAUCUGCAAUCACUCCUUUCUCACACUGGCCAAGCACUUACUACUAUUCCUUAGUGGAAGCACCUCUUAGGAUGAAAUACAAAGCCCUCAGUCACAGAGCGUCCCAUUUUCCUUCAGAUUUCAUCUGGUGACAUUCCCUCUCUUAUUCUUAUUCUUCUUCUUCUUUUUUUUUUUUUUCCCACCAGAGCCGACAAACUAGCUUCUGGUGAGACUGGGGUUGGAACCUGAAUUUCUGUUGCCUCAGGCAUGGAAGCCUUUCUGCAUAGCCACAACCCUAUGGAACCCACCUCUUCAUCUUCAUCUUCAUCCCUGGACUUCACAGUGUCCUUGGGACUGAGUGGGCAUUGCAGUGUUUUCCACCUGGAGAAGAUUUCCUCCCUGCCUCUGUCCCACGAAGCCCAGGAUACCUGUGAGAAGUUGUUUGCUGAAGGGCAAGGCGCCUUGCCUUCCUUUCUCUCUAGUGUUCAGCUUGCUGGAUGAAAACGUGCUCUGCUCCGUCUGAAGUUCACAUAGUUUACAAGUAAAUUGCAGUAGUCUGUCCAACACUUGAAUUUGUUUAUUUCAAUAAUAGGAUAAGACCUAGGAAAAGUCUGUCGAUCUUCUCUGAAUGAAUGUGUGCCAAUAAGGAGAGUAAAGGAUCUAUUUUGUGAACAAGAUAAAUAAAAUCCCUGCUCUCGUAGAGUUGGCACUCCAUGACCUUAGACCAUGCAUUUGUGAAUAUAUAAGUCCAGAAUUGAAUUUAAACAUAUCUUGAGGUCCUGCUCACCAGGUUCCUGCCGACUUCACAUCACUACAAGCCACUACUUGUCCACAAACCAGUCCUGUUCUGAAAACUUUCUGGAGAUAACAUAGCACACCACAUGUAAGUAGGGAGAUCGAGAGCGAGGAGAGACAACUUCAGUAUUGCUUCCCCACUUGUGAAGCUCCCCCCGCCCCCAGCCAUCCAGGUACCCAAGCAGAGGCCAGAGGUUUGAACCUUGGUCCUCUUGCAUGAUAUGUGCUAUCAGGAGUUACCACCUGGCCACAUGCAAGAAAGAAAUACAUAUAUAUGCUUUUUUAUGUAGCUGUAUCUGCCUUGGGACAUUCAAGCUUUCUGCUCAUGGCAAGCAAAUCUUCAAUAUGACAUCUCGCACAGGGUUUUCAGUUAA